AGAGUUUGAUCCUGGCUCAGAUUGAACGCUGGCGGCAUGCCUUACACAUGCAAGUCGAACGGCAGCACGGGAGCAAUCCUGGUGGCGAGUGGCGAACGGGUGAGUAAUAUAUCGGAACGUGCCCAGUCGUGGGGGAUAACGCAGCGAAAGCUGUGCUAAUACCGCAUACGAUCUCUGGAUGAAAGCGGGGGACUCGCAAGGGCCUCGCGCGAUUGGAGCGGCCGAUAUCAGAUUAGCUAGUUGGUGGGGUAAAAGCCCACCAAGGCGACGAUCUGUAGCUGGUCUGAGAGGACGACCAGCCACACUGGAACUGAGACACGGUCCAGACUCCUACGGGGGGCAGCAGUGGGGAAUUUUGGACAAUGGGCGCAAGCCUGAUCCAGCAAUGCCGCGUGCAGGAUGAAGGCCUUCGGGUUGU
rnacentral:rRNA from 1 species